rnacentral:tRNA from 1 species
CAAAUUAAUUUUUAAGAAGAUAUAUUUAUUUACAAUAAAUAAUAAAAUUGUGCAAUUCAAUUUAAUUUGC